AACGAACGCUGGCGGCAGGCUUAACACAUGCAAGUCGAGCGCCCCGCAAGGGGAGCGGCAGACGGGUGAGUAACACGUGGGAACAUACCCAUCUCUGCGGAACAACUCCGGGAAACUGGAGCUAAUACCGCAUACGCCCUUCGGGGGAAAGAUUUAUCGGAGAUGGAUUGGCCCGCGUUGGAUUAGCUAGUUGGUGGGGUAAAGGCCUACCAAGGCGACGAUCCAUAGCUGGUCUGAGAGGAUGAUCAGCCACAUUGGGACUGAGACACGGCCCAAACUCCUACGGGAGGCAGCAGUGGGGAAUAUUGGACAAUGGGCGCAAGCCUGAUCCAGCCAUGCCGCGUGAGUGAUGAAGGCCUUAGGGUUGUAAAGCUCUUUCACCGAUGAAGAUAAUGACGGUAGUCGGAGAAGAAGCCCCGGCUAACGUCGUGCCAGCCGCCGCUGUAAGAC
rnacentral:rRNA from 1 species